rnacentral:rRNA from 1 species
CUCUGGACAGGGCGCAGCCUGUCCGCAAUGCCGCGUGAGUGAAGAAGGCCUUCGGGUCGUAAAGCUCUUUUGUCAGGGAAGAAACGGUGAGGGCUAAUAUCCUUUGCUAAUGACGGUACCUGAAGAAUAAGCACCGGCUAACUACGUGCCAGCAGCCGCGGAAAAUACGUAGGGUGCAAGCGUCAAUCGGAAUUACUGGGCGUAAAGCGUGCGCAGGCGGUUUUGUAAGUCUGAUGUGAAAUCCCCGGGCUCAACCUGGGAAUUGCAUUGGAGACUGCAAGGCUAGAAUCUGGCAGAGGGGGUAGAAUUCCACGUGUAACAAUUAAAUUCGUAGAUUGUUGGAGGAACACCAAAAACAAUGCAGCCCCCUGGGUCCCCAUUGACGCUCAUGCACGAC